UUUAUCAGUUAACAAGUUGCUACAAACUUAUACAAACAAUGAAUGACUAUAUUAGAUCGUCGCUUGUCAACAAUGAUCUGUCACAUGGUUGUGUACACAGUUUGAAAAGUGUGUUUAAUUGAAAAGUUAUGUAUUUUUCAUAAUUAGAAAUUACUGCGUUGACAAUUAAUAAGUUCUAUUUAAAUUAAUUCAUAAGAUGCUUACAUAUUUAUUUGUAUACAUAUCAAUGAAACAAUUAUGGAAUUUUAAAUGCAUUCGAUUAGAAGAACAUAUUUCUAUUUCUCAUUUAAUUUAUGGAUAUGUAUAUAAAGUAUUAUGAAAUCUUAACAGCUUUUGAUCAUAAAAAUACAUCGGAUUUCUAAGUGUUAGUGUGAUGGAGACUAUUAAUUAUUUUAUAUUGAUUAUUCCAACAUAUGUUCAAAACAUAUUUGUUGCUAAUAUAAAUUAAAAAUUGCCUAUCAAAGACUUAGCACGGUUUAACCUCAAUUAUUAUUUUUAAAUGAGACUGGGAUACAUCAGAACUAAUUAACAUUUGGAUAUGAAAUUUAUAAUAUUAAUCAA